CGGGGCUGGAGGACCUGGCGAGGCGGUUGGCCCUCCGACCAAUCAGAGUGAAUGAGAGGCGGGACUUGAUUAUACCACGUGAUCAUCCUCGCGGACAGCGCGGCUGUGCGGGCGGAGAGCUGUCGCACAACCAGAACUGGACAGAGUAUUCCAGAAGAGGCCUCCCCAACAUCUUGUACAUCCCCAACAUAACGUCCCAACUCCUGUACUCCAAGGUCUGAACAAUCAAGAUCCCAGUGAUUAAUGCCAAAGCCCUGUUGCCUGGGGAGAGGGUGAUGUUUGACUUUCUUGUACAGCUGCAGUUUGUGUGGUGAAGGUGCUCCCACAAUGUGGUUGGGAUGAGGCUAUCACUGGCUCGGCCAGCAUUUAUUGCUGCGUUUACCCAGAGGGCAGUUAAGAAUCAACCACGUUGCUAUAGGUCUGGAGUCCCAUGCAGACCAGACCAGAUCCCAGUGAUCAGUGCCAAAGCCCCAUUGCCUGUGGAGAGGGUGAUGUUUGAUUUCCCUGUCCAGCUGCAGUUCAUGUGGUGAAGGUGCUCCCACAAUGUGGUUGGAUAACAAGACUGAUGGUGUUUCCAAUCAUGAUCAGAAACAAACCUCAGAAUACAUGGUUCAUAGAUGGAUGUCAAUAGCCCAUCAACAUCCAACUCCUGCAAUUAUUCAGCAAAUGUAUGUGU